UUUACUCCCCGGGGAAACUAGCAUAUCAAUAAGCGGAGGAAAAGAAACCAACAGGGAUUGCCCUAGUAACGGCGAGUGAAGCGGCAACAGCUCAAAUUUGAAAUCUGGCUCUUUUAGAGUCCGAGUUGUAAUUUGCAGAGGGCGCUUUGGCUUUGGCAGCGGUCCAAGUUCCUUGGAACAGGACGUCACAGAGGGUGAGAAUCCCGUACGUGGUCGCUGGCUAUUGCCGUGUAAAGCCCCUUCGACGAGUCGAGUUGUUUGGGAAUGCAGCUCUAAAUGGGAGGUACAUUUCUUCUAAAGCUAAAUAUUGGCCAGAGACCGAUAGCGCACAAGUAGAGUGAUCGAAAGAUGAAAAGCACUUUGGAAAGAGAGUCAAACAGCACGUGAAAUUGUUGAAAGGGAAGCGCUUGCAGCCAGACUUGCUUACAGUUGCUCAUCCGGGUUUCUACCCGGUGCACUCUUCUGUAGGCAGGCCAGCAUCAGUUUGGGCGGUAGGAUAAAGGUCUCUGUCACGUACCUCCUUUCGGGGAGGCCUUAUAGGGGAGACGACAUACUACCAGCCUGGACUGAGGUCCGCGCAUCUGCUAGGAUGCUGGCGUAAUGGCUGUAAGCGGCCCGUCUUGAAACACGGACCAAGGAGUCUAACAUCUAUGCGAGUGUUUGGGUGUCAAGCCCGAGCGCGUAAUGAAAGUGAACGGAGGUGGGAACCCGCAAGGGUGCACCAUCGACCGAUCCUGAUGUCUUCGGAAGGAUUUGAGUAAGAGCAUGGCUGUUGGGACCCGAAAGAUGGUGAACUAUGCUUGAAUAGGGUGAAGCCAGAGGAAACUCUGGUGGAGGCUCGCAGCGGUUCUGACGUGCAAAUCGAUCGUCAAAUUUGGGCAUAGGGGCGAAAGACUAAUCGAACUAUCUAGUAGCUGGUUCCUGCCGAUUUUCCUCUCCCCGAAGAAAUCACAGGC
rnacentral:rRNA from 1 species